CUUCUGGUUGCCUCGGUGGUCGGUGCUGGAAACAGUGCUGCCACCGGUGGACUACUAAACUCUUGUUAAUUUUUGUCAAAUCUGAAUCAAAACUAAGAAAUAAGUUAAAACUUUCAACAACGGAUCUCUUGGUUCUGGCAUCGAUGAAGAACGCAGCGAAAUGCGAUAAGUAAUGUGAAUUGCAGAAUUCAGUGAAUCAUCGAAUCUUUGAACGCACAUUGCGCCCAUUAGUAUUCUAGUGGGCAUGCCUGUUCGAGCGUCAUUUCAACCCUUAAGCCUAGCUUAGUGUUGGGAGACUGCCUAAUACGCAGCUCCUCAAAACCAGUGGCGGAGUCUGUUCGUGCUCUGAGCGUAGUAAUUUUUUAUCUCGCUUCUGCAAGCCGGCCAGACGACAGCCAUAAACCGCACCCUCUCGGGGGGCACUUUUUUAAUGGUUGACCUCGGAUCAGGUAGGAAUACCCGCUGAACUUAAGCAUAUCAAUAAGCGGAGGA
rnacentral:rRNA from 1 species